CAUAACGACACGAUAAUUUUAUAUAUAAUAUUUCUAUAUUAUAUCUUUCUGUAUUAUAUAUUUUUCUAUUUAUAUUUAUAUUUUAUAUAUUUUCUUAUUUUUUAUUUUAAAUUUAAUAUAUUAAAUAUUAAAAUUAACUUGUCGUUAGUUGAUUAGAGGCAGCAAUGAUUCAUUCGAGUGGUACGCUGAGUGGACUGUGCUCCGAUAACCUCUUCUCUCCAUCCUCGACGGAGCUAUUGCCCCUACUUCGCUGCAAGUUCUUUUGCCUAGUUGCAGCAGUUCGAGAUUAUCAGAGCAUUUAUACGACGCAAGGUUAAAGAUAUUACUAAUAUUGAUUUCUCGAAAGUUGUGAUUCCCGACAUACUUAGGAGGAAUGUGAGAAAACGGCCUGGGAUGCGGUGGCGCAUAAUGGACAUGACCACCAUGCAGUUUGCAGGUGAGGCAUUUGAUGCAGUUGUUGAAAAAAGUGGAUUGAAUGCUUUGAUGGAGCCAGAGCUUGGGCCUAAGCAGGGUAGUCAAUAUUUGACAGAGGUUGCAUUGGAUUUUAUUUUGGGUUUUGUGCUUAGUAGUUUAGUUUGAUUGGUGUUGGAGAAGGAAUAGGGCAGGAGAGAAGAAAUAGGAUAGAAAAGUUAAAUCUUUGGGUCAAGAGUGAGAAAAUCAAAUUUUGAAGUUAUUGCUGAUGUGGUCAAAAUAUUAUUUUUAAAAUAAUUUCGGCAAGCCACGUCAAGUGUUCAA